rnacentral:rRNA from 1 species
AGAUUGAACGCUGGCGGAAUGCUUUACACAUGCAAGUCGAACGGCAGCACGGGGGCAACCCUGGUGGCGAGUGGCGAACGGGUGAGUAAUACAUCGGGACGUGCCCAGUCGUGGGGGAUAACUACGCGAAAGCGUAGCUAAUACCGCAUACGAACUCUGGUUGAAAGCGGGGGACUCGCAAGAGCCUCGCGCGAUUGGAGCGGCCGAUGGCAGAUUAGGUAGUUGGUGGGGUAAAGGCUCACCAAGCCGACGAUCUGUAGCUGGUCUGAGAGGACGACCAGCCACACUGGGACUGAGACACGGCCCAGACUCCUACGGGAGGCAGCAGUGGGAAUUUUGGACAAUGGACGCAAGUCUGAUCCAGCCAUUCCGCGUGCAGGAUGAAGGCCCUCGGGUUGUAAACUGCUUUUUGUACGGAACGAAACGCGCUGAGUUAAUACCUCGGCGUAAUGACGGUACCGUAAGAAUAAGCACCGGCUAACUACGUGCCAGCAAGCCG